AAUGUUUGAUUGUAAUAAUUCCUUUGGGAUAGUCUCACUUUCAGCUGCUUGAUUAAACAUUUCAGUAAGAGGUUUUAAAAGAUAAGAUUUCAUAUAUUUAUAAUAAAGAUUUGAAAAACCAUCAGGGCCAGGAGUUUUAUUUAUAGCUAAUCUAUCAAUUUGCAAUUGGACUUCCUCCAUUGAGAUUUUUUUAUUCAAAAUGGUCAGAUCCUGGGAAGAAAUUCUGGGAAUUCGAGACUGUAAUAAAUAAUUUUUAAUGUCCUUUAUUUCUGGGGAUAGCCUUAAAUUGUAUAGAUCUUGAUAAAAUUGAUUAAACUUUUGACCAAUCUCCAAUGGAGUGGAGUAUACAGUUUGAUCCACUACCAAUUUUUCUACUCUAUUUUUGGCAUAUUGAUUACGAAGCCUUCUAGUGAGACUCUUACUCGCUCUAUUACCCGAGAUGUAGUAAUUUAGUUUUAAUUUAUUUAUAUUUGACCUUAUUUUCUCCUCUUCCUUUAAAUUAAUUUGGAGUUGUAGAUCCUUUAACUGAGUUCUCAGCUCAAAAGAAGAUUGUAUUUUAUUCAAUUUGGAACAUGAAUAGAAUUCAAUAUAUAAGUCGGAC